AAAUACAACUUUUUCGAUGUUUCUUAUUAUGAAUUUUUUCAUAUUUAAACACUCAUGAAGUGUUCUAGAAUCAUUUCUAUUCGACUUUUCCAUGAAAAUACUGCAAAAAGAAAUCGCAUGAUAAGAACAGAAGCUUGAUUCCAACCUUUGGCAAUGGCUAAUACUAGAAGAGGCAAGGCAUACAUGUACAUGUACAAUACAUGAUUCUCUGUAGCACCUGGAUUAUCUACAAUAUAUAAUUCCAUAACAGCAAUGAAACUCUAGACUACUAUGAUGUUAUGUACAUGUAUAUCUACAUAUAUGAUCAAUGUUGAAGACAGGUUAUGCCAGGUCUCAUCAUGUCGACUAGUCCGACAAGUUUUGGUUCAGCUUUCUGACAGGAAUAAUUAUAAAUUUGCCAGCAGUAACAACACAUGAAUAUUAGUUAUUAUACCCCACGCAACGAGUUGCGGAGGGUGUAAUGUUUUUGACCCGUCCGUCCGUCUGUCCGUCCGUCUGUCUGUUCGUCCGUCCGUCCGUCUGUCCGUCCGUCAGUCCUGUUUCUUGUCAUCGCAACUCCUCUCAAACCACACAACAGAAUUUCACGAAACCUUUUUAGAUAAUAAGGACAAACUACGUAGUUGUGCAUAUCGACAGGAAAUUACGAUUCAAUUAUUUUUCUAGGAGUUACUCCCCUUUGAACUUAUUUACUUUAAUGUACUACUGCAACAGUUUGUCAUCGCAACUCCUCUCAAACCACACAACAGAAUUUCAUGAAACCUUUUCAGAUAAUAAGGACAUACUACGUAGAUGUGCAUAUCGACAGGAAAUUACGAAUUAAUUUUUUUCCAGGAGUUACGCCCCUUUGAACUUAUUUGCCCAAUAUACUACUGCAACCUUUUGUCAUCGCAACUCCUCUCAAACCACACAACAGAAUUUCAUGAAACCUUUUCAGAUAAUAAGGACAUACUACGUAGAUGUGCAUAUCGACAGGAAAUUACGAUUCAAUUUUUUUCCAGGAGUUACGCCCCUUUGAACUUAUUUGCCCAAUAUACUACUGCAACCUUUUGUCAUCGCAACUCCUCUCAAACCACACAACAGAAUUUCAUGAAACCUUUUCAGAUAAUAAGGACAUACUACGUAGAUGUGCAUAUCGACAGGAAAUUACGAUUCAAUUUUUUUUCCAGGAGUUACGCCCCUUUGAACAUAUUUGCCCAAUAUACUACUGCAACCUUUUGUCAUCGCAACUCCUCUCAAACCACACAACAGAAUUUCAUGAAACCUUUUCAGAUAAUAAGGACAUACUACGUAGAUGUGCAUAUCGACAGGAAAUACGAUUCAAUUUUUUUCCCAGGAGUUACGCCCCUUUGAACUUAUUUACUUUAAUGUACUACUGCAACCUUUUGUCAUCGCAACUCCUCUCAAACCACACAACAUAUUUCAUGAAACCUUUUCAGAUAAUAAGGACAUACUACGUAGAUGUGCAUAUCGACAGGAAAUACGAUUCAAUUUAUUUUAUAGGAGUUACGCCCCUUUGAACUUAUUUGCCCAAUAUACUACUGCAACCUUUUGUCAUCGCAACUCCUCUCAAACCACACAACAGAAUUUCAUGAAACUGUGUAGAUAAUAAGGACAUACUAUGUAGAUGUGCAUAUUGACAGGAAAUUAUGAUUCAAUUUUUUUUUCUGAUACAAUUUUGUUUUCUUACACUUAUUUUAUUUCUCUAAUGACAAUGUGGGAACGUGGGGUAUGUGAGCGCGCUCACUAAGGUUCUUUCAUUAUUAAGUGCGCUUAUCGGUCUAGCAAUUUUUAUUAUUGUGCACUAAGAAGUAUGCCUAGUAAUCCAAAACAUUUUGCAUGAAGUUAUAUAAAGAUAGUUGGAAUUCAUGAUAUUGAUGCAUUGUGCAGAAACAUGAAAUAUUUUAGUUUGUAUUCUUAACAAUCCAAGAGUAGGGUUAAAUUGUACCAAGGAGAAUUACUUAUUACUAUAAUUACGCAGCAGUAUUUUGAUUGUGGAUUCUUUUCAAUUUUAUUAUUUACUGAAUGCAUAUUUGUCACUUGUUUAAUGCCUUGUUCAAACGUAAGUUUAAUUUGAAUUGAAUGCAAACCAAUUUCACACAAUAUUCUUUUUUUCAUUUUGAAGCGAAUUCAAAUAUAAUGCGAAUCGAAUUCACUAAUCGCGUUCACACAUUCAUCUUUUUUUAAUUCGAAUCUAAUUCAAAUAAGCUAAUUUGCAUUAUUCAAAUCUCAUUAGAAAUACCUUUUUGGGUUAAUUCGAUCAAACUUUGGUGUGAACACUUUCCAAAUUGUAAUUCAAAUUAAACUAUAAUAGAUUAAUUCAUAAAUCACAUGUGGAGCAGGAUCUGCUUACCCUUCCGGAGCACCUGAGAUCACCCCCCAGUUUUUGGUGGGGUUCGUGUUGCUUAGUUUUUGGUUUUCUAUGUUGUGUCAUCUGUACUAUUAUUUGUCUGUUUGUCUUUUUAUUUUUGGCCAUGGCGUUGUCGGUUUGUUUUCGAUCUAUGAGUUCGACUGUCCCUCUGGUAUCUUUCGUCCCUCUCUUGAAUUAAAAGUUAACGUCAUUUUGACAGUAAAGCGAUUUUGACGCGUAUUGCAAUUUGAAGUAGAAUUUACAUUUGGACAUUAAACAUGUUAAACUUUUCGAAUGGGUAUUAAACUAUAAAUUCAAAUCAGUUAAUGCGAAUCGAAUUGGAAUUAUGUGUGAACACAGCAUUUAUAUAUCUAAGAAAUGAGGAAUAUAAAAUUAUUAAAAAAAGAUGGCCAAAUA